ACAAUAAAUAACAAUAUAGGGCUCUUUUGGGUCUUAUAAUUGGAAUGAGUACAAUUUAAAUCCCUUAACGAGGAUCAAUUGGAGGGCAAGUCUGGUGCCAGCAGCCGCGGUAAUUCCAGCUCCAAUAGCGUAUAUUAAAGUUGUUGCCGUUAAAAAGCUCGNAGUCGAACUUCGGCCUCUGCCGCCCGGUCCGCCUAUUUGGGUGUGUACUGGAGCGGUGGAGGCUUACCUCGUGGUGAGCAAUCAUACCCUUUACUGGGCGUGGUUGGGAACCAUGAUUUUUACUUUGAAAAAAUUAGAGNGUUCAAAGCAGGCUUACGCCCGAAUACAUUAGCAUGGAAUAAUAAAAUAGGACGUGCGGUUCUAUUUUGUUGGUUUCUAGGAUCGCCGUAAUGAUUAAUAGGGAUAGUUGGGGGCAUUCGUAUUCAAUUGCUAGAGGUGAAAUUCUUGGAUUUAUUGAAGACGAACUACUGCGAAAGCAUUUGCCAAGGAUGUUUUCAUUGAUCAAGAACGAAGGUUAGGGGAUCGAAAACGAUCAGAUACCGUUGUAGUCUUAACAGUAAACGAUGCCGACUAGGGAUCGGACGAGGAUUUUUAAUGACUCGUUCGGCACCUGAAGAGAAAUCUUUAAGUCUAGGUUCGGGGGGGAGUAUGGUCAACUUGUGCCAUCGANAAGGUAGAACAAGCNUUANUUCGAGAUCAUUCUCGGGCAACACUUGCAAAUUGCGGCGACUUCUNNAAGCUCAGAGUACCAAGCAUCAUCUGAAAAGUUGAUGUGGCUAGCCUUAGUUGGCUGGGUACGGUAAGAAUCUCUGAGAUUGGACGAGCGCGCAGCCAAGUCCGUCAGUAACUUUAGCACGUCUACAUUGACUUGUAUAGCAAAUUGUUACGCCGGAUGCAGUCCACAGACUAGAUGCAAGUGGGUGAAAGUAACUAUUGAAGUAUAUAGUUACUUCAUCUAAGAUAUAGUCGGUCUAGUUUCGCAAGAUACUAUGUAAAACGCGCAAGGCUGAAACUUAAAGGAAUUGACGGAAGGGCACCACCAGGUGUGAACGCAAGUUUCAACUACUAAAGCCGUAGUUAACUCUGCACCUAACAGGGUACUCGAAAGAGUUGUGGUUGUCUAUACGGACCCUAGUGUGCACUCCUAGUGCAUGCAAGACUCUCAAAUUGCGGGAAACUUCUGUAAGUUAGAUGGUACUAAGUCAAGCAAUUUCACUCCUUGAUGGCGAGAUAUAAUCAAUCUCGGUAUAGUCAAAACCCAUCUACAUUGAACGAUCCGCAGCCUAGUAUAAAUUAUGAUACAGGGUUCAGAGGCCAAAUGAAAGUCGGCUGACCAGUAAUGGCAGCUUAAGAUAUGGUCCAAGCUUGCUUGAAAUGGCAAAGUAUNAAUAUCGGGAGCCUGCGGCUUAAUUUGACUCAACACGGGGAAACUCACCAGGUCCAGACACGACAAGGAUUGACAGAUUGAUAGCUCUUUCUUGAUUUCGUGGUUGGUGGUGCAUGGCCGUUCUUAGUUGGUGGAGUGAUUUGUCUGGUUAAUUCCGAUAACGAACGAGACCUUAACCUGCUAAAUAGCCCGGCCGGCUUUGGCUGGUCGCUGGCUUCUUAGAGG
rnacentral:rRNA from 1 species